CGCUGAUGAAGUUAGACUGCUUGUGGCAUCAGCUGUUGCUCUCUUUGAAGAACAGUUAUCCUGUUCUCUUAUUUCUCCUUCAUCCUAUUUUUAACUUAAACUACUCAGAUGUUUGAAACUUCUGUUCUCUUUGGAUGACAUCACUGUCCACAAGUGGCCCACAUGUACACACUGAGCAGUGGCCCCUCUGAAUGUUCACUUUAUUAGUCAUGUAGAUUUUAAAUGCUACUAUUUGAUGAAUGUAAGUUUCCACAUUGUUGCUAUUUCUGCGUUUAAACAUAACUGGGAACAACCGACAGUCUGUAGUCAACUUGCCGGGGCCUUAGACUCGACAUGUCCGUUUCUGUUCAGGUACAGCUUUUUAGAGCAAGGGCUGCAUCUAGCUUCUUUUCGUUAGAGAAGUGUGUGUGUGUUAAAUCCUUUAUUAAUGUGUAAUCAGUUUACACUGUUUUGUAUAGUGAAAGUGUAUUUUCAGUGCUACCGCUAGCUAAUUUGAACUUUACGAAUAAAAUUAGAUUUUAAGAAAUGCUUUUGCUUACAUUGUCCUAGUCCGUUCCUAAUUCACUUGGGUACAGCACGAAUGGGUGUCUGUGCCUGGUCUGGCACCCUUCUUCACAGGAGACGGGGAGCAUCUUCAAAGACUUGCAGUCUUUGAUCUACCUUUGCUGCUGACGUACCAGUAAGCUGAACCACAGACUUGCUGUCUCCUGUGACCAGCAAAGAGAAACCAGACAUAGGCUUAUGCAGAACAGUUCCUAGAACAUGAAUGAUCUGAAAUCGCUUCACUUUCACAUCUAACUCCAACCAGGGUGGUGUUUUGGUUGAAACCGACUGUGAACUGAUUCCUUCAGCAGAGCACAGGGUGGGUGCUGGCCACAGUUCAUGGUAAGCAGCCUGAGCGGAUCCUUACCCCACCGCAGAAGCAAUAAAACCCACCCCUGCUGAAGCGGUAGGAGCGCUUACCCGGUCUGUACCUCUCGUGAGACCGUGAACUCCAGAAAUCCAACCUUAACCACAAACUGCUAAUUCAGUGGAAAGAAGUCUUCAAAUCCAGGCCAGCAGGUGAUAGUAAACACAGAAAUAGAAGCUGAGCAGAAGGUGCUGGUUUGUCUUAAGUUAGAAAAUUGAGAUUCAUUUGUAUGUGGCCUCAGCUUCAAUAGCUCGUUUGGUGUUUCCUCUUGGAUUUAUAGAGGUUGUUUCAGGUACUUGUUUUUAGCAAGAGAACGAAAACUC